rnacentral:rRNA from 1 species
AACCAACGCUGGCGGCGUGCCUAACACAUGCAAGUCGAGCGAGAAAGUGGAGCAAUCCAUGAGUAAAGCGGCGACCGGGUGAGUAACACGUGACUAACCUACCUUCGAGUGGGGGAUAACUCCGGGAAACCGGGGCUAAUACCGCAUAACAUCGAAAGAUCAAAGCAGCAAUGCGCUUGAAGAGGGGGUCGCGGCUGAUUAGCUAGUUGGCGGGGUAAUGGCCCACCAAGGCGAAGAUCGGUAUCCGGCCUGAGAGGGCGCACGGACACACUGGAACUGAAACACGGUCCAGACUCCUACGGGAGGCAGCAGUGGGGAACUUUGCGCAAUGGGGGAAACCCUGACGCAGCAACGCCGCGUGGAGGAUGAAGCCCCUUGGGCGUAAACUCCUUUCGACCAAGACGAUAAUGACGGUACUGGUGGAAGAAGCACCGGCUAACU